rnacentral:lncRNA from 1 species
CUUUUAGUUCUUAAUUAAAGGAGAGACCUCACAUCCUUAAUGAUGUUUGCCAUGACUGUUGCCACAGAGGACAAGAAGAGCAAAGUCUGAGAAAGACUUGGAAAAGAAGUGUUCAAGGAGAAGAAAUAUUCUGAUUAAUUACUAUGGUUAUCAGAGGAAAUAUCACUUCCAUUAGUACAACGUAUGUGUCUGAAAUCUAAAAUAAAGGAUACGUAAUCCGACAACGCAGAAGUGCUUUGUGUGGUUCUGAUUGUGGGUCUUUAAGAUACUGCCACUGUAAAAUGAAACAACAUGUAACUCAGUGGAGUAUGAAAAAACAUUCAGAAGAGGAAAAGGCAGGGAUCCAGGGAGGCUUUCAGAAUUAACGCAUCUGUGCUGAAUAUGUAAUUAACCAUGGAUAACAACAGAUAAUUAUGAAAUCAAGCGCAGUUUUAUUAUACAUCAUUUUAUAAUUCAUGCGGGUGUGUCAUAAAAUUGUGAGCAUUUAUACUUUUAAAAAUGAACCAUGUGUUUAAUGCAAAUGUAAUCAUGCUAAUGGAAUUCGUAUUCUUUAAAGUGCACAUUGGGAGAGU